GAUCUGUAGUUUUAACAAGCUCCUCAGGUGAUUCUGAUACACAGCAAAGUCUGAGCAUCACUGGCUGAGAGCACAUCUCCAGAGGAGAAAGCUGUGAUCCCUUAGCAGCUGAUCUCAAGCAGUGUUGGUUCAACAGCCCUGUGACAGGAAUCAACGUGGUCUGCCCACUGCACCCUGUACGUGUGUCGUAGGCUUCGGUUGUACGACAAUACCAUGUCUCACUCUACUUCGUUCAAGUGUCAAAUGCCACCUUACUAGAGAGAGACUCCUUCCUUGAUGACUGUUUUAAAGGGUGAGCCAAGGAGAUGGGCAGAGGGAGAGAGACAAAGAACCCCAAGAAUUCAGUGCUAUAUCGAAUAGGAGUGGUAAUGGCAGAGAGAACCGCCUUCUUUUUCAAAGACAGAGGAGGACUUGUUCAGCAAGAGGAAAAGGCAACAUAGCAGUCUCUGAAGGGGCACGUUGAGUGCACCUGUGAUUGCUGCUCCUAUCAAUUGUUCUCCUCUCAUCAGAAGAUGCCAAAGAAACACAACAUGUGCAUGUCACAGGGAGAGUAAGUUUAAAGCAGAAGCUAACCUAACUGCCUGGAAAAAACAUUUUCAAAAGAGAAGAUCAUUUGAUUUAUACAUUUUGUGGUCUGAAAGUCCAAAAGGACCAGUGCUUAGCAUAGCAGUAUUUUCCUCAGUCUGCUGCAGGUGACCUUAGUAGAAAAGUCAGAGAGCUACCUCCAUCUCUGUCUGCCAUGUGAGAACACAAGGAGAACUCAGAAGUCUACAGAUAAAAAAAGAAGUCACCGUGCUGACAACCUGAUAUCUGAGUUCCAGCCUCCACAACUUGAGAAGUACUUUCUGUUCUAAGUCCUCCAGUCUAUGGUAUAUGGAUAGAGCAGCUAAAAUUAAGAUGCUUUAUCCAGGAAUUAUUUGCAUGGACUCUGCAGUGUGAAAAGCUGGCUGUGAAUACAUGAAGGGAUAAAGGUUGCUGAAGAAGUUAGACAAAUAAAAUGACUAGACAGGACAAUUUGAAUGUGAAGUGCCUCUAGAAAGAAGUGACAAAUGGCAUCAUAAUGCAGUGCUUUGAACUACUCCAGAAUAUAAAAUUAACCCUCAGAAAGUGUUCUGAAUGUAUAAAACUAACACUGGUAUCAGAAGUAGUGGGUGAUAGCAAACCUUACCCACUUCAUCAAAAUAGAUUCUGGAGGAGACAUGGAAUAAAAUGCAACAAUCUUCUUAACA